rnacentral:rRNA from 1 species
GGCUUAGAGUUUGAUCAUGGCUCAGGAUGAACGCUGGCGGCGUGCCUAAUACAUGCAAGUCGAGCGAAGCGCUUGCCUUUGAUCCUUCGGGUAAGAGGCUUGUGACUGAGCGGCGGACGGGUGAGUAACACGUAGGGAACCUGCCUCACACAGGGGGAUAACAGUUAGAAAUGACUACUAAUACCGCAUAAGCGCACAGGACCGCAUGGUCUGGUGUGAAAAGCUCCGGCGGUGUGAGAUGGACCUGCGUCUGAUUAGCCAGUUGGCGGGGUAACGGCCCACCAAAGCGACGAUCAGUAGCCGGCCUGAGAGGGUGGACGGCCACAUUGGGACUGAGACACGGCCCAGACUCCUACGGGAGGCAGCAGUAGGGAAUAUUGCACAAUGGGGGAAACCCUGAUGCAGCGACGCCGCGUGAGCGAAGAAGUAUCUCGGUAUGUAAAGCUCUAUCAGCAGGGAAGAAGAUGACGGUACCUGACUAAGAAGCACCGGCUAAAUACGUGCCAGCAGCCGCGGUAAUACGUAUGGUGCAAGCGUUAUCCGGAUUUACUGGGUGUAAAGGGAGCGUAGACGGAAGAGCAAGUCUGGAGUGAAAGCCCGGGGCUCAACCCCGGGACUGCUUUGGAAACUGUUUAUCUAGAGUGCCGGAGAGGCAAGCG